GAACGGGCAUAAUGAUCAGUUCGCUGAAGUUCGUAUUGAGCAGCUUCUACUUCUUGUUUCAGUGCUACAUGAGUAGCAGCUAACCUCUGGUUAUCAACUAAUAAUCCUUGAAUCUCAUCAUGCUGACUAGCCAGGUGUUCCUCAAGAACAGCAGGGUGUGGAGGCAUUGGUCUGGAGCCCAUUCCAAACUGUGAUUCUCUCAUUUCUUCAAGCAUUGCUGGAUGAGGCACCGGCAAGCGACCCCUAGCAAACUGGGGCUCAUGCAUUGGUGGAGGAAGUCCACCAUGAGGACCACCUUUCAUAGGAAGUGGAGGCCCGCGAUUCCGAC
rnacentral:misc_RNA from 1 species